CAGCAAGAGAAACACAAAGCAUUAAUUAUAAGGGAACUCCCAUAAGCCUAUCAGCUGACUUCACUAAGGAAAUAAUACAGGUCAGAAGACAGUGGCAAGGUAUAUUCAAAGUUCUAAAAUGGAAAAAUUUACAUCUUGGGAGGAGGACAAGAUGGCGGAGGAGUAGGGGGACACGCUCGCCCUCUCCCACAAACACAACAAAAAAAGCACAUCUACAGAAGAAAUGACUCGCACAGAACAACAACCAAUCGCUGGCAGAGGAACCUAAACUCCAAUAACGGCAAGAAGUUCGUGACAUUAUUGGGCAGAACGGGAGAAAAGAGGAGAGUGAGAGAAGGUGAAUCCGAGCGGGACGGGCGCUCCCGAAAGGGAACUGCGGAGGAGAAAGGGAUCCCGCACCCUGGAAAGUCUCCUACCGGGGGAAAGAUCAAACGAACCGGAGGAAUCUCCAGAUGCAGAGAAGAGUGUAGCAGUAAGUCGGAGUACGGAAAAACGAUCAAGAACCCAACGGACCAUCUGAACUACGGGCACAGUCACCAAAAAUUGAGACGCCUGGGUGGGGGCUGGGCACCGAAUCCUCGGCUCCAGAGGUUAGUCCCCGGGAAAGGGCCGGGGGACGCCUGGGUGGGGGCUGGGCACCAAGACCUCAGCUCUGAAGGUUGGUCCCCGAGAGGGGGCCGGGGGACGCCUGGGUUGGGGCUGGGCACCGAGACCUCGCCUCCGAAGGUUAGUCCCCAAGAAAGGGCCGGGGGGCGCCGCCUGGGGGGGGCUGGGCACCGAGACCUCGGCUCCAGAGAUUAGUCCCCGGGCUAGGGGGCGGGGAAGAGCGGAAACUGCUUGGGAGGUCUCUAAACCAUUUGACGGGGCAGAGACUGCCUGGGAGACUAGAAAACAAAGCUGUCGCAGAGGAAGGGAGCAAUACUCUAGGGGCGGGGAAGUGGAAAGCCGCCUCAGAGGGAACCUGGGAGAAGAGCCUGGUCUGCGCCCGUGCUGGGGAGGGGAGAGAAGAAGGG
rnacentral:lncRNA from 1 species